UACGUAGGGUGCAAGCGUUAAUCGGAAUUACUGGGCGUAAAGCGUGCGCAGGCGGUUGUGCAAGACCGAUGUGAAAUCCCCGGGCUUAACCUGGGAAUGGCAUUGGUGACUGCACGGCUAGAGUGUGUCAGAGGGGGGUAGAAUUCCACGUGUAGCAGUGAAAUGCGUAGAGAUGUGGAGGAACACCGAUGGCGAAGGCAGCCCCCUGGGUCAAGAUUGACGCUCAUGCACGAAAGCGUGGGGGAGCAAACAGG
rnacentral:rRNA from 1 species